rnacentral:rRNA from 1 species
CAGUAGCCGCGGUAAUACGUAGGUGGCGGGCGUUGUCCGGAAUUAUUGGGCGUAAAGGGAGCGCAGGCGGACAUAUAAGUCCAUCUUAAAAGUGCGGGGCUCAACCCCGUGAGGGGAUGGAAACUGUAUGCCUUGAGUGCAGGAGAGGAAAGCGGAAUUCCCAGUGUAGCGGUGAAAUGCGUAGAUAUUGGGAGGAACACCAGUGGCGAAGGCGGCUUUCUGGACUGCAACUGACGCUGAGGCUCGAAAGCCAGGGGAGCGAACGGGAUUAGAUACCCGCGUAGUCCCUGUCUCUUAUACA